CACGUAGGGGCCAAGCGUUGUCCGGAUUUAUUGGGCGUAAAGAGCUCGUAGGCGGUGUGUCGCGUCGGCCGUGAAAACCUGCAGCUUAACUGUGGGCUUGCGGUCGAUACGGGCAUCACUGGAGUUCGGCAGGGGAGACUGGAAUUCCUGGUGUAGCGGUGAAAUGUGUAGAGAUCGGGAGGAACACCGGUGGCGAAGGCGGGUCUCUGGGCAAUUCCUGACGCUGAGGCGCGAAAGCGUGGGGAGCAAACGGG
rnacentral:rRNA from 1 species